ensembl:rRNA 5S_rRNA 5S ribosomal RNA
GCAUACAGUCACACUACCCUGAGAACGCCCGAUCUCGUCUGAUCUCGGAAGCUAAGCAGGGUUUGGCCUGGUUAGUACUUGAAUGGGAGACCACCUGGUAAUACCAGGUGCUGUAAGCU